rnacentral:rRNA from 1 species
AAUCAACGCUGGCGGCGUGCCUCAGACAUGCAAGUCGAACGCGAAAGUUUCCUUCGGGGGAACAAGUAGAGUGGCGCACGGGUGAGUAACACGUAGGUAAUCUACCUUUGGAUGGGGAAUAACAACCGGAACGGUUGCUAAUACCGCAUAAUGCAGCGGCACCUAAUGGUGACAGUUGUUAAAGCGGGGGAUCGAAAGACCUCGCGUCUGAAGAGGAGCCUGCGGCGGAUUAGCUAGUGGUAAGGUAAUGGCUUACUAAGGCGACGAUCCGUAACCGGCCUGAGAGGGCAGUCGGUCACACUGACACUGACAUACGGGUCAGACUCCUACGGGAGGCAGCAGUCGGGAAUUUUGGGCAAUGGGCGAAAGCCUGACCCAGCAACGCCGCGUGAAGGAUGAAAUCCCUCGGGAUGUAAACUUCGCAAGAACGGGAAGAAUAAGCGAGAGUUAAUAU